UACGUAGGGUGCAAGCGUUAUCCGGAUUUACUGGGCGUAAAGGGUUUCGUAGGCGGUUCGCCGCAUCUCGUUUUAAAGCCCACCGCUCAACGGUGGAAGCGGACGAGAUAUGGGCGAGCUGGAGUCUGUUAGGGGAGGUUGGAAUUCUCGGUGGAGGGGUGAAAUCCGUUGAUAUCGAGAGGAACGCCAAGGGCGAAGGCAAGCCUCUGGGGCAAGACUGACGCUGAGGUGCGAAAGCGUGGGGAGCAAACAGG
rnacentral:rRNA from 1 species